GCCAUGGCUCAGGGGAAGAGCACCCAUUUUGCUGGUAGAAGGUUCCAGGUUCAAUCCCUGGCAUCUACA
rnacentral:tRNA from 1 species